AUUGGUGCACAUACCCAACACAAGUUACCAUGGAAAUAAGCCCUGAAAAGAAUCGAGACAUCAUCAUAACAUUAAAACCCCAACUUACCUCGCUAAGCUAUUAUCUCACUGCAGCUCCAGAAAUGUUCUGACAUGCUUAACAAAAACUCCAGGACAGAAACUUUCAGACAUCAGGUGCUGCUGGCUGGUUUUGCAGGUCUUUGCUGUGACAUUUCACAACAUCAUGAGCAGAUUGAGAUAAUUCUGCUGUACAGUAUUCUGCUUUUGCAGCUAACUUAAAUCUGCUUUACAUGUGGGUAAACGGAGCAUUUGUUUAUUCCAGGCAAUAAAACAAGGCUGGUUGUUUUCCGUGUUUGAACCAGCACACACUGUGCAGACAGCAAUGACAUUA